rnacentral:rRNA from 2 species
CGCUGAACUUAAGCAUAUCAAUAA